CAUUUUCGUGCAGACUGAAGGUGAAUUCCGUUUUAGGUGGCCAUCUUGCGGAUUGAUGGAGCAAGCAAUGCAGCAGCCGUCUCCUUCCAUCUGUCUAUCAAAGCGAUCGAAAGACUUUCGCUACGUGUAAAACGACGGCACAGGAAGAGUAAGCUUAAGUUCUUAGUGGUGAAGCUUCUCUUUUUUCACGGUCGGUGACCACUAUUGCAAAGGAAAUCCUGAGAGCAAAGGAGAAGGGCAAUGCAAUGCAAGAGAAAAGCCGAAAAGCUCUUCAAGCAAAGGAUCCACGACUUCUCUUCAAGCGUCUCUCUCUCUCUCUUUUCGGAAGGAACUUUAGCUACUCAAAACAAUGAGAACAUAGCGAAGGUUAAUGGAAUGGAAAGAGUUGUAGACCUUGUCAAUUGGUGGGUGAUUGCGACUAGCUACCACUUUGCGGAUGGAGCCAGGCUAUUGAAUUGAUCCUUCAUUCGUGGGUGAAGAGAAGAAACUUCAAUAGUUUAGAACU